UGGGAGUCAUAAGAAAAUGGAGAAUACUGUAUUUGCUUUAGAAAGUUUUUACAUAUAGAUAAACACGCAGUUAAGAUAACAGUAAAAGCGCCCUACGGGAGUGAAGGGGGCCUCCAAAGCGGCUAGGAAAACUUGAAUAGCUUUUGCAUAAGAAUACUACGGUCUCACUCUCUGCUUUUGCUAGCGACAGGGUCCCUCUCUCGCUCUAACCCUGGCCACCUCGUCAAGCCUCGACUGCCAAGUCGACGCCGAGAAUCCCCAAAGGAAAGAGGUGAGUGGGCAGGGAAGGAGGGAGGAGAGAGAGAGAGAAGGGAGAGGAGAAAAGCAGGUAUCAUAUACAAGCAAUUUCUACACAUAUAUUACAAACUGGGAAAAUGACCGAUCAUUAAGAUAUACAUAAUUCAUAUAAAAUUUUGAAAUAAAAAUAAAAAUCUGUUACAGUCAUAACUAUUCUUUUUCCACAUUUAUAACCAGUACCCACACAGGCAGUGACAGAGUGGAGAGAAAAAGGUGCUUACGAAGAAAAUGAUUGUCGGCUGAACAAAAACAGAGGAUUGCAUCUUGUUUGACCAAUACUUGGACUUAAAAAACAGAGAUAGAUAGAUAGAUAGAUAGAUAGAUAGAUAGAUAGAUAGAUAGAUAGAUGGAUGGAUAGGGCUAAAGGAGAAAAGAGCAACAGAAGGAAGAAACAUUUGCUAUUUCUCUCGAGGAGUUUUUUUUUUCC
rnacentral:lncRNA from 1 species